rnacentral:rRNA from 1 species
GGCCAGACUCCUACGGGAGGCAGCAGUGGGGAAUAUUGCACAAUGGGGGAAACCCUGAUGCAGCGACGCCGCGUGAGUGAAGAAGUAUUUCGGUAUGUAAAGCUCUAUCAGCAGGGAAGAAGCAAGACGGUACCUGACUAAGAAGCCCCGGCUAACUACGUGCCAGCAGCCGCGGUAAUACGUAGGGGGCAAGCGUUAUCCGGAUUUACUGGGUGUAAAGGGAGCGUAGACGGUAUGGCAAGUCUGAAGUGAAAGCCCAGGGCUUAACCCUGGGACUGCUUUGGAAACUGUUAGACUAGAGUGCUGGAGAGGUAAGUGGAAUUCCUAGUGUAGCGGUGAAAUGCGUAGAUAUUAGGAGGAACACCAGUGGCGAAGGCGGCUUACUGGACUGUAACUGACGUUGAGGCUCGAAAGCGUGGGGAGCAAACAGGAUUAGAUACCCCUGUAUAG